UCAUCUUCUCGGAGCUGCUGUCCAACCUU
rnacentral:piRNA from 1 species